rnacentral:ncRNA from 2 species
AUGUUCUAUUACCUCAUCGGUUCUAGCGGGGAGCAGCCGCUAGAGGAAACGGGAAAAGUGUAGUGAAAAUUUGCCGCUGUCCCGCAGCUGUGAAAGGGAAAUUUCCCUCAGUCAGAAUGCCCGCCGAUGAGCUGCGAGUUCU